rnacentral:rRNA from 1 species
AGAGUUUGAUCCUGGCUCAGAACGAACGCUGGCGGCAGGCCUAACACAUGCAAGUCGAACGAACCCCUCGGGGUGAGUGGCGCACGGGUGCGUAACACGUGGGAAUAUACCCUUCAGUACGGAACAACACAGAGAAAUUUGUGCUAAUACCGUAUAAUAACUCCGGUUCAAAGAUUUAUCGCUGAAGGAUUAGCCCGCGUUUGAUUAGAUAGUUGGUGAGGUAAGAGCUCACCAAGUCGACGAUCAAUAGCUGGUUUGAGAGGAUGAUCAGCCACACUGGAACUGAGACACGGUCCAGACUCCUACGGGAGGCAGCAGUGAGGAAUAUUGGACAAUGGGCGAAAGCCUGAUCCAGCCAUGCCGCGUGAGUGACGACGGCCUUAGGGUUGUAAAGCUCUUUCAGAUGCGAAGAUAAUGACGGUAACAUCAGAAGAAGCUCCGGCUAAAUUCGUGCCAGCAGCCGCGGUAAU